UUACCGAGUUUACAACUCCCAAACCCCUGUGAACAUACCUUAUGUUGCCUCGGCGGAUCAGCCCGCGCCCCGUAAAAAGGGACGGCCCGCCGCAGGAACCUUAAACUCUGUUUUUAGUGGAACUUCUGAGUAUAAAAAACAAAUAAAUCAAAACUUUCAACAACGGAUCUCUUGGUUCUGGCAUCGAUGAAGAACGCAGCAAAAUGCGAUAAGUAAUGUGAAUUGCAGAAUUCAGUGAAUCAUCGAAUCUUUGAACGCACAUUGCGCCCGCCAGUAUUCUGGCGGGCAUGCCUGUUCGAGCGUCAUUUCAACCCUCAAGCCCAGCUUGGUGUUGGGAGCUGCAGUCCUGCUGCACUCCCCAAAUACAUUGGCGGUCACGUCGAGCUUCCAUAGCGUAGUAAUUUACAUAUCGUUACUGGUAAUCGUCGCGGCCACGCCGUUAAACCCCAACUUCUGAAUGUUGACCUCGGAUCAGGUAGGAAUACCCGCUGAACUUAAGCAUA
rnacentral:rRNA from 1 species